UGGGAGAGACUGGGAGGGGCUGGAGGGGACUGGGAGGGGAUUGGGAGGGACUGGGAAGGCACUGGGAGGGGCUGGAGGAAACUGGGAUGGACUGGGAGGGGUUUGAAGGGAAGUGGGAGGGACUGGGACAUACUGGGAGGGGUCGAGGUGGAACUGGGACCUACUGGGAAGGACUGGGGAGGGGUUCGGAGGGAACUGGGUUGUACUGGGAGGGGUCUGGGGGGAACUGGGACCUACUGGGAGGGGUUUGGGGGGGAACUGGGAGGUAGUGGGUUGUACUGGGCUGUACUGGGUUGUACUGGGAUGUACUGGGGGGUCUGGGUUGUACUGGGUUGUACUGGGAGGGGUUUGGGAGGUACUGGGAUGUACUGGGCUGCACUGCGAUGUACUGGGCUGUACUGGGUUAUACUGGGUUGUACUGGGAGGGGUCUGGACUGUACUGGAAGGGGUCUGGGAGGGGUCUGGAUUGUACUGGGAUGUACUGGGCUGUACUGGGAGGGGUCUGGGAGGGGUCUGGGUUGUACUGGGUUGUACUGGGGAGGGGUCUGGGCUGUACUGGGUUAUACUGGGCUGUACUGGGAGGGGUCUGGGCUGUACUGCGAGGGGUCUGGGAGGUACUGGGUUAUACUGGGUUGCACCGGGCUACACUGGGAGGGGUCUGGGCUAUACUGGGAGGGGUCUGGGAGGUACUGGGUUGUACUGGGCUGUACUGGGGAGGGGUCUGGGCUGUACUGGGUUGUACUGGGUUAUACUGGGUUAUACUGGGGAGGGGUCUGGGCUGUACUGGGCUGUACUGGGUUAUACUGGGUUAUACUGGGGAGGGGUCUGAGCUGUACUGGGGAGGGGUCUGGGUUGUACUGGAUAUACUGGGUUAUAUUGGGUUAUACUGGGAUGUACUGGGCUGUACUGGGCUGUACUGGGGAGGGGUCUGGGUUGUACUGGGUUAUACUGGGAGGGGUCUGGGUUGUACUGGGCUGUACUGGGUUGCACUGUGUUAUACUGGGAGGGGUCU
rnacentral:lncRNA from 13 species